rnacentral:lncRNA from 1 species
UUUAGCAUAGAGCAGAGUCUGCUCCUUAAUGCAUCCCUGGAUCAUAGCAGACUCUGCCUAUAGAGGCCUGGGGUCCCUUUGGCAGCACUUUUCUCAAGAAAGUAGAGUCGUGGACAACCAACUGCACAGGUUGGGAGCAUUCUGUCAUACCCUGAUAAUACUGAUAAGAAAAUUGGGAAUCUAAGAGAACGUAAGGAGAGUGAUGGUGACAUAUUGAACCUAAGGUGAUACUACAUGAUCCCUGUUUCUGGCAUUACACUCUUAUUUUCCCCUCCUCUUCAAUGUGGGUAGGACCUGUGACUUGUAUCUAACCAAUAGAAUAUGACAAAGGUAAUAGGUUGUUAUGCGAUGUCAUAGAAGACUCCAUAGUACCAGCUGACUCAGUCUAGAAUCUUGGUGUGCUUGCAGGCUUUGAAGAACAAGCUGCCAUGAAUCCUGCAGCUACAAGGAAAUGAACUCUAUUAACUUGAGUGAGCUUAAAACUAGAUCCUUCCCCAGUCAAGCCUCCAGGUGAGAAUUCAAUCCUGGCUGGCACCUGGAUUGCAGCUUACAGAAGACCCAGCUAAGGCCAUGUCUGGACUUUAAAUCCACAGGAACUGCAAGAGAACUGUUUGAUACACGCAACCAGGACUGUAUGAGAGGCUGGAAACGUAUCUAUCAGUACUACUUAUCUGUAGUAAAGACUUUUUUAAGCUCAUUUAUGAUUGCACAACCUAAAUAACCAUACAUGGCUGGGCCUGGGAAAGGCAGAAAGGCAGAUGGCUCCAAGCAUGUGGCAGCACAGAGUCUCUCUGAACCUAUUCUGAUUCUGGUGGCUGCUCAAUUUGCAAAUCAUUCCCCAACAGAUGGUAUCAGAAGUGGGACCUGCAGUGGGGCAUCUAGCAACCCCCAGGAGCAUUGAGUGACCAGGCUUGGGACCCACCGGGCGCAGGGUGUCCAUUGUUCUCUCGAAGCAACUGAGAAUUGUGGGUAAGUUUUCUCUUAGAUUCUGAAGCUCCAUGGAGUUCUGUUUUGAGUUCUUGCAGAUAUUCUUCAUUAUUCCAUCAUCAUCUCAAACCUCUUGGGUAUAGUGUUUGACUACUACUGUGACCAUAAAUUCCAAUAAAACCUAGGAAAAAUGAAACCACUACAUUAACUGAAAGGGAUCAGUGUAUGUGAGAAGUUUGGAUUUCUACCCCCACCUGGCAAUAAUAAGGAUCACAGGUGUGAGCCACCAUUCCCGGCCCCACAUGGACAUUCUUCAACUAAAAAUAUUCAAUAAAAGAAGUAAAAACCAAAUGGAUGGGCUAAAGAACAGAAUAGAGAGGACAGAGGAAAAAUAUCAAUGAAAUUGAAGAUAGAACGAUAGACAUUAUACAAUCUGAACAAUAGGGAAAUUACACUGGAAUUUUCACCUUUUUACUUGAAGGAAGGAUUUGACAGCUUCUUUUGGGCAUAUCAGAAUCGCCAGCAUCACUACUCUUGCACUGUGCGGCCAUUAUUAAGUGAAAUAAGGAUUACUUGAACACAAGCACUGCAAUGCCGCUACAGUCAAUGUGAUAACCCAGCUGGUGACUAAGUGACCAAGGACGGGGAGUAUCUACAGCGGGGAGACUCUGGAAAAAGGGAGGAUUCACAUCCAGUGCCACUGGGGCAGGGCAGAAUGAGAGUUCAUCAUGCUACAAAGAAUGGCACAGAAUAUACGACUUGUGAGUGGAUUAUCUCUGGAAUUUUCUGUUGACUACAUUUGUACUACAGUUGUAUGUGGGUAACAAACUGUGGAAAGUGAAACUUCGGGUAAGGGGGAGGCUACCGUAGAUAGCCCAGUAUUUCUUAUUUUGUGGAUUUGUUUAUCUUUCUGCUCACAUCCUUUUCCUUCUGCAUUACCAUUUUAGUAAAAAUAGAUAGCAUCCAUUUGGUGUUUAGUAUGUUUUUGGCACAGUCGAACAUUUUACAAACAUUAUAUCAUUUAAUCUGCAUAAAACCUAUACAGUAGGUACAACUAUUAUCCAGUUUUUUAGACAAGGCAAACUGGAUCACAGGGAGUUCAAAACGCCUCUUCCCUUGGUCAAGUUGGGUCAUGUAAUUGUCAAAGUUAAAACAUGCCCCUUAGGAGAUGAUUUAAAAUUCCCUAAUUUUUUAGAAGAAUCUUCAGUUUUCCCAGGAUAGAACAUUUAUUGAUAUGGUAAAUAUGUGGAAAGACCCACCAACCCCACUCCAAUCUUACAUUCUUGCCAUUAAAAAACAAACAUAAAGACUGUUCCCUAUGUUUUUUUCUUUAAAAUGUAUUCUAGGGAUAAGAUAUCAGAGAGACUUCUCUACUGCUUGGGAUGCUUGUUCAGAGUAUAAUUUCCAUAGCAGCAAGAAAAGGAAUUUUUGUUUGUGGAUACUUUAAAGUAAAUAAAGCUAUUAUAGAAGGCAAAAGAAGCUCAAGUGAUAGAAAUAACACAGGACAGGAAGUAAGACAGUUCUCGUCUGAAGUUCUUCUCUGACAGCCCACAAACUAGUUAAUAUGAUGUGCCUGUCACAGUCUCCACCAGAAGCUUUAUCUUACUACAGAGUCCAGAUGCAUUAAGGCUGUGUUCGAGCCAUGAUCUUCCUCUGAAGAAGAAAUGAAGAAGAAAUUUAUCUUAUUUUUGGAUAUAGUGUUCUUAGUUGGCAGUUUAAUUAUUAUUUUUACUUCAUCACUUUGUAUACGUCAUCGCACUUUCUCCUGGCCUAUAAGAUCUCUCCUGAGAAAUUUUACGUUCUACUUUACUGGAACUUCAUUAAAUAUUAUUUGCAUCAUUGCCAGAGUUAAUGAACACCUGAAUCUGCGAAUAUGAUUUGAAUAGGAAAGAAUGGGCAGAUACAAGACAUAUUGUGAGGGGAAUCUGAGGUUUGAGUAAAAGAUUUCUUGCCAUCCUAAAGGAAAAGAGUUGAGAUGAAGGAAUGAGUCAUAAAAUUAAUAUGAAGAUUUUUACAUCUACAGUCUUAAGAGUAAUCGGAUUUUCAAAAUUUGACCAAAAUAUAAGCCUCUUCAGCCAUCAGAAGGACACU